GGUUGAUCUUGUUUGAUCUCGAAAUGGAGAUAAGUCGGUUAGGAGGAUUGGAUCCGUUGAUAGAAGUCGUGGAUUUCGUGCGUGAGACGAGAGUUUGGAAAAAGAUACGAAGUAUUUAAACUAAAUGGAAAUUUUGUCAGAGAUAUUAUCCUUCGACGUAUAAAUAUGAAUAUAAAUUCUUUCUAAUUUUUAUUCCAAACAUUUUGAAAUGAUAUUAAGUCUUCGACUAAUCUUCUUUCAAUGUUUCAAAACAAAUUUCGCGAUAAAAAGAAUUAUUUAGUUUCGAUAAUCGGAAGAGUUCGAAACUUUUUCUCGUAUUCGAUAUAGUAAUUCGUGAAAAUAAUCUCUAUUUCGAGGAUGCAAGGUUCAACAUUUCAUCAAAAACUACAAACUUCUUCUCGAAUACUUCUUUCAAACUUUUCCUUGGCGCACGUCCGAUCGAAAGAAAGAAGAAGCAUCGUCCCAGAAACUUUCGAGUGUUGUAAAAAUUUUACCCACCCCCUUCGGUAUCGAGUGGAAAAUGGACCUGGACCUUUUUGGAUUUCUUUUGGACUUCUUGUGGAUUUUUUUCGAGAAUAUUUUAUAUGUUUCAAGUGAAGAUUAUGUAGUAUUCUGAUUGCGAGUGAUUUUAGACGCAUUGAUUGUUAUGUAUUUUAAUAAGAAGGUACAAAAUUUUAUAGAAUAUUCUUUUUAUAUACGAAGACGACUGAUUAUUGAAUUAAACAGAGAAAAAUAUAUUAUUAGGAAAAAUAUAAUCAUUGCAAUUAAUUUUUUGUUUUUGCUAUUAUUUUUCAAAUUUUUUUUUAUUGUAUCUUUAUUUCUCAAGACAGUGUUUCUUGUGAUUAUAAAUGAGAAGGUAGUAUAUUUGUAGUAUCAUAAAAGUACCCAGCUUAGAACAGUACCUUCAAAUGACUAUAAAACAGGAUCUCGUAACUUUACAUUUACGAUCCUCGGAAUUAAAAUGCAGUAUCAUCCUCUUUUACCACAAAGUUACAUCGUUUAAAAUUUUGAAAUUAUGCUUCUAUAAAGAAUUAGUAAAUUGUUAAUUCGUUUUUUCAAAGAAUUGACUUUUAUGAUAUUUAUAAAUCGAAAGUAUAUAGAUACUUUUACAGUAUUAUUGAUACUUUUGUAUCGAUUAUUACUUAAUAAUAUAAAUUAAUUAAUAAUAAUAAAAAAAGAACUAUAUAUUGGUUAUCAUAUAAACACGGAAAGGAUUAAUAAUGAUCCCCAUAAAAAAAAAUAACAAUCAAUGCGUCGAAACUGAAUUAUCUCGCUUCGAUAUCAAAAUACUCGAGAAAAAAAAAUAAGAAAAAGGACAAAAACAAGAAAAGAAAAAAAAAAGAAAACAAUGGAAGAAACGAUGAAAUAAAGACAGCAUGAAAACGUCCCGAUUCACGCUCCCAUCCUGCGUUCCUGUUUCUCAUCUCCAUUCCUUUUCUCAUUUUCAUUCAAACAUUAAUUUCAUUCACCAGAACUGCGAAGACACGGCCCAGAGUAAGUACGUGCUACGUUAUUGGCCAAUAUCGGGCAGACACGAGGUUCGAGCCGUUCUCGACUAGGCACGACCCCCAUUAACCGCGCCAUAAACAGAUAAUCGCAAAUUUCCCGACGAUACCGCUCGCCCAAUCAGAUAAACCCGACCAGCCGAGAUAUGGAAUUAUUGUCUAUGCGUUUCUCGCUUCGUUCGCACACGAGGCUACGUAGCUGUGAAUUAGCGACAGAUUUUAAGACAGGGACACGAAAUAUCAAGAUGUUGUUCGUAAUUAUUCGAAGUUUUCUAUUUUACUGUCCUUCUCAAUUAAAAUCUUUUAUCUAAUUUUUCUUCAUUUUUCAAAAAUAUAUUCGAAACUUCAAAGUUCCAUAUAUCUCUUGUUUUUUGAAGAUAGACAAUUCCCAUGCAAGAGAGAUUUGGAAGAAGUUCAACUUAUUUAUCGUAUGAAAGGAUGUUUUGAAGAAAGCUGAUAAAACUUUACAAUAUAUAUAUAUAUUAUAAAUAAUUGAUAAUUAUGAUGCAAAUAAAUCGUCUUCCGUUAAAGAAUUCAUAUUACCAUGUCAAAAUAACUCUUCGAUUAAUUACGAACAUAUGCUCAAAUCAAAACAUCUUAUCAUCUCCCGAUCAAAUAAUAAAACUUCGUUCUUCCAAACGAACAUCAGACGCUUCUAAAAUCUCUACAAGUUCUACAAGUAUUAAAAAGUGUGUCUACGUCGUUUUUCAAAAACAGUCCCGCCUUCAUUUCGAACACUCAUCUCAAACGACAUGAAACGAUCGGACCCCGCGCACGGAAUGCAUGGAAUAAAAUUUCCGCGAUUAUUACGUGUUCGGAAGUCGGUUUUAUGUGAUCCGAAACGCGGCUCGUUCCUGCUCUUUGUUUGCGCUCGCCAAGGGUGAGAAAGAGGAGCACUCCGUUAAUCAUUAUCCAAGGGGGUAAGUCGAGAGGCGAAGGAAGCCUCCUUUGAGGCCGGACCACGGUUGCUCUGCCCGGAAUUCCAGGGCCUCGGAUUACAAUUUGGCGAGUCCAGGGCGAAGGGAGAGUAAAAUGGCCGCCGGCGGUAGGGUAGUUUUGCCGGUCGUGGGGUGGCUACGAGGGUGGCUAACUGGGUGGCCGACAAGGACUGGAAGGAGUAGGAAGAGAAGCCGAGCGGAGGUCGGUAAAGGGGAUAGCGGUGGCUGAGGACUGGGGCAAAGGGGGGAGUUCUGAUGCUAGCCACAACCCCUUAAGGGUCGAACGAACCCUUGCACUACCACACGAAGUCCAAGAAUUCUCCAUCUCUCUCUCUCUCUCUCCCCCUCUCUCCCUCUCUUUCUCUUUCUCUCUCUAUAACCAUUUCAUAUCCUCUUCCAUAUCCUGUACUUGGCUUUCCCUCUCCCUCCCUCUCUCUCUCUUUCUCUCUCGUAGCUUCUAUAUCCCUUGAACACACGAGUAACCGAGGUAGGUAGGUAGGUAGGUAGGUAGGUAGAUGGUACGUGGUUGUGAUGGUAGGUAUAGUGGCUGUAGAUAUAAAGGUUGUUCAACGAGGAGGAAGGGUGAGCGGGGGAUGAGAACGAGACGGACAGAGGGUGGAAGAGGGACGACGAUGGCAACAGAGAAGCAUUGGAAACAGGAGGAGAACGGAAAGAGAGGAAGACACAGAUGUGGAGAAACUGAAAGAGAGAGAGAGAGAGAGGGAUUGAGGGUGAGUCGAGGAGAGUCGAAGCGAGACGAACGAACGUGCCAGUUACCAAUAGACAAAGAUGGAAUCGGAAAAGGGACAAACAGAAACUGGCCAGAGUUGGAAAGAGAGAAGAAGAGGUAGAUGGAGGAGUGGGGGAGGGAAUACAUAGGAGAGAAACACGAAGCAGCACACGGACGAGAGGAGAGUGAGAGCUGGCGGUGAAUGAGGGACCAGGGGGUGGAAGAGGAUGGGCGCGCACGGGCAAGGGUGGAAUUUUAGAGUCGGGGCUAGCCUUAAAAUACACGCCGUGCGAAAUACCGGGCGUGAAUUAGAGUCCAGGCGUAUAUACACGAGUGCGGCGAGCGAACGAACGAAACCUUUGGAAUUUUCCCUAGCCGCAAACUCGGUUCUCUCUCCCUCGUUUCCACUUGUAUCCGAGAAUCUUUGGAUGGACGGUUGCAUCCAACAACAAGAAUUCCCGAGGACACGGGAAUCGUUGAUUGUAAGACAUUCCACGUGCUGCAAUGAUUAUUGUAGCCAGGGAUUCGUAUUUGCUGGACUUUGUAGAUUACUUUGCUGGAGGAUUGUUGGUAUGAGACUCGAUUAUGAAUUUGUUAGGAACAAGGGAUACUGUGGUAGUUUCUAAUUUAGUUGGAUUGUCAUUAUUUGAUAUAGGUAUUAUCAUCGACUUGCAAUUGCAGUUUGGAAUUAAAUUAUUAGGAAAUAUUUCUGUAGAAACGGUGAUAUCGAAAAUUUUGGUACAAGAAUUGAAAUUAAAUCGAUUUAUUUAUGAAUUGCAUCGUCUUUGUUGAUCGUAGUUAUUAGUUAAACUCAAUUAUUUUACAUUCGGUAGAUUUUGUGUUAGAAAUAUUUUCAAAUUUUCAAUCAGUCUACAUAAUAUCAAGAAAUUGAAUAACGUCAUUCUUCGAGGAGGGAAAAUUUUCAAAUUGUCGAUCAGAACGAAUAAUAAGGAUAGAAUCAGGAAAACUUUAAUUCUUUAAAUUUUAACCUUUUCAAAAAACAUUUUCAGAAUGGCAAUGUAGAAAUUUUUAGAUUCAGAAAAGUGAAAUUUCUCGUAAUUUUCUUUUUUUUAUUCUAAUUGAGAAUUUUUUGAUUUGUUUCGCCAUUAGUCGCGUCCACGAAUAAGCGAGCGUAACUGAAAGUGGAAAGUAAAGGAACUCCAGAGGAAAAUGCAAAUGCGUGCCUUGAAACGAUAAACUUGGAGAAAAAGUUAAGAGUAAUUGUUCUCCGCGAUGCUACAAACAUCGAUUAAUGAAUUUUAAAAUGAAAUUUUGUUUAUACUUUAAAUCAUAUAAAUAGAGAAAUAUAAUAUUUAGAUAAAAAUUUAGAUAAAAAGAGUAAAAUAUAAAAAUAAUAAGAUAUACAACUAUAUCAAUCAAAAACAAAAUAUAAAAUAAUCUUAAUUAAAUUAUCUCAAAUAAAUAUUCUUUAUAGUUGUUUAAAAUCGAACGAAUCUCGUAGGAAAAUUAUUCUUUAUAAAUUUUAAAUCCUUAUUUCUAUUGUAUGAAUUACAUAAUUAUUUACACAUGAGGAUGACAUAGGAAAGAUUUAUUUAAAUUAUACAAACUCGUAUUUUAAAAACAAAAGUUUAAUUUUGCAAUCACGAUUAUCAAAAAUUUCCAAAAAUUAUAAUUCGAAAUAUCCAAUCUACUUUCUCUUUACAUCAUUCUCACUCACAAUUAACAAAUCACUUAUCAUUCAUCAUUCCAACGCAAACGUUCAACGAUAUCUAUCCCUUACUAUCUAUCCCUACUUUCCCUUAUUCUUGGUUCUCUCAUACGUUCAAAAAAUCAAAUUAAAAAAAAAAAAGACAUAUAUUUCUCAUACCUGUAAAAAUUUCGCUCAUCAUAUCGCCUCGUCUAAUUUCACUCGCGCGCGAUCGACGAAAUCGGAUCUCGAUGUAGCCGGAAUCUCUCGAGUGUAUUUUUCUUUUUUUUUUUUUUUUUUUUAUCGUGUUUCGACGCGAAUCGGCGACGAUACCGCACGGAUUUAACUAAUAAGAGCAAUUAGCGUCGGGGGUAGUAACUAGAGGUGGUUUGCCCGCCAUGGCAUGUCUCUCGCCUGGCGGUCGCCUCGGUCAAUACCCACCGGACAAGAUGGCCGACGCCCACUCCAACACAAACUCAAAGUUACAUACAUUUAUGUACUCAAAUGUAUAACCCACCCCCUCCGGACGGAGUUGCCUUUCUCCUUCCGCCGGCUUCAACCCUCCCGGCCUCGCCAUCCACUCGGCUACACGGACACCAAACUUCAUCAUUAUUAUCUCGGUGGCCCGGUAUCCACCCUUACCCCUGUGAAAUGCGUGAAUUUUGCAAAAGAGACUUGGACUUAUCAUGAGACGAUACACGGGGGAGGGGAAGCCUGUGUCUUGAAAAUUAAACGAUUGACGUUCGAUCGACUCACGGUUCGUGUUAGAAGAUUCGAGAUUGGAUUUUUAGGAUAUGCAUAAUUUAUAGUUUUGUUUUUGUUGAUGGGGGAAAUUGUUGAGUUUGGAAAUAUUAUUGAUUGGUUGGAGAAAGGUUUGUAUUUAAUUUUUAUUUCGCUAGGUGAAUAAUAGUUUUUUAAAAAGUUAAAGAGAGAGAAAUAAAGGAUGAAGAUUGAAGAUGAAAUAAAAAUAGAUUUUUUGUAUUAGAUUUUUUAGUUAAAAAUAAUUUUUUGAUUAAAAUAUCGAAAUCAAAUCAAAUUGGACAAAUAAGAUAUUUUCUAAGAAUUUAUGUUAUUAAAACGAGAAGAUCUUUUAAUUCCAACAGUAAAUUUUUAAUUUAACGGUUGCUAAAAUAGCUUUUCUUGGUAUCUUUUUGGAAAUAUUUAUAUUUUUUAUUUAAAAUCUGUACAGAUUUAUUGAAAAACGAUUGAAUUCGUAAAAUAAUUGAAAUAAAUUGACCUGUUAUUGGAAAUAGAAGUUUGUAACCAACGAAGAUUACGAACCUGAGGACCUCUUCGAAAUACAUGUAUAGGAAAAACUGUUUCUAUUAUUUAUAAUAUUAAUUCGACAGACAAAACCAAUAAAUUGAG